rnacentral:rRNA from 1 species
GAUUGAACGCUGGCGGCAUGCCUUACACAUGCAAGUCGAACGGCAGCGGGCCUUCGGGUGCCGGCGAGUGGCGAACGGGUGAGUAAUGCAUCGGAACGUGCCAUUGAGUGGGGGAUAACGUAGCGAAAGUUGCGCUAAUACCGCAUAUUCUGUGAGCAGGAAAGCAGGGGACCGCAAGGCCUUGCGCUCUUUGAGCGGCCGAUGUCAGAUUAGCUAGUUGGUGAGGUAAAGGCUUACCAAGGCGACGAUCUGUAGCGGGUCUGAGAGGAUGAUCCGCCACACUGGAACUGAGACACGGUCCAGACUCCUACGGGAGGCAGCAGUGGGGAAUUUUGGACAAUGGGGGCAACCCUGAUCCAGCCAUGCCGCGUGAGUGAAGAAGGCCUUCGGGUUGUAAAGCUCUUUCGGCCGGGAAGAAAUCGCAUGGGUGAAUACCCUGUGUGGAUGACGGUACCGGAACAAGAAGCACCGGCUA